rnacentral:lncRNA from 1 species
AGCGUUAUCCUGUAGCUAUUUAGCUAGAUAGCUUAUGCAAGGGAGUUGCAUUCCCACAUGCUGCGAAAAGACUUAUCAAGUGGGUCCACCUGAGUUCUUCCUUUGCCGGCUCAGCUGUCUAUACAAAAAUUAGAAAUAAUCCAGGGUGAGUUACUUUCACAAUGUCAGCAGAAACAGCAAGAUGAGCACAGGCCAACACGGUGUCUCUGCAGAUCUGUGCAGAACCUGUGAGCUGCUCAGCACAGUCCCUCUUUCUUUAUGAAAAAUGAAGCCUUGAAUAGUAUAUGCUCUGUUCUGUGUUCUCCACAAAGCUACGUCUAACAAGUUGGCUGCAUCACCUCGAAUUGCAGAAGAACAAGGGCAGAUGGUGGGAAAAGAACACCAGGGAUACAGCAAAUCAAUUAAGGGAAGGGGAGAGAGAGAGAGAGAGAGAUCUGUACUCUCGAGGGAGCUUAUACAUUAAAGGAAGAGAUCAAGAAAUGGACACAGAUAGAAGUAACACAAGAGAGGAAGAGCUAUCCUGUGAGGCAGGAGAGGCAGAUAACAAACCAGAGAUGCAAAGAGGGCGAGUGACUUACCCAAAGUCUCCCGGCCAGUUCACAGCCAAGCUGCACGACUCUCACUCCCUCCAGCAGGGUCUACUACCGCACUUGUACUGGCUUUCUCCAGAGUUCCCAGCUCCACCCCAUUUCAAGUCUAUCUCCCUUUAAGGCAGAAGAGGAAGAGAUAGCUUGCUUUCUGCCUCCCUCCCUACAUGAUUUACCAUCAAGUUCUGAAAUGAGCACACUUUAUAUACACACUGCCUGAGGGACAGUUUGCCCCGAACCUCCUCCACAGGGCUGGGCUGAGGACUGGCUGCAUUUCUAUUUUUGCCAUGCAAUUUGUAAAAAAGCUCUGCACUGUGCUUCAAAGAAAAAUAAUGGAUUCCAUGAUGAAAGGAAGAGGCCCCAUCCCUCCCACUGAGGUUAAAUGCCACCAGCCACUAGCGAAGCAGCGUUUGGAAGUUUCUGCCAAGCAAAAUGUUGAGAGCCCACAGAAAACCGAGGAGGUGGAUUGGGCCGAUCUGUGCAAUGGCAGGAAGGGGCUGGAGGGAUGAAUGACCCCCAUUUAUCCUCCUGGGCUGAAGCCCUCCCCCUGUUGAGAACAUCCCUUCUGUUUCGGCCACAGAGAGGGGUGUUGUUUGCAAUGUGUACAUAUUUAUGUGACAAAUGACUAGCUAUUUAUCAAAUACUGUAUCGAUUCUAACAUUUUUCUUCACCCCUACCCCUUCACAAUGCAGGUCUUUCUGUCUCUCCCCUUAAUAGUGCCUGAGGAAAAUCUACCACACACA